GAUGAACGCUGGCGGCGUGCCUAAUACAUGCAAGUCGAGCGAAGCGGGGACGGGUGAGUAACACGUGGAUAACCUCCUAUAAGACUGGGAUAACUCCGGGAAACCGGAGCUAAACCGGUUACUUAUAGAUGGUUCCGCGGUGCAUUAGCUAGUUGGUAGGGUAACGGCUUACCAAGGCAACGAUGCCUAGCCGACCUGAGAGGGUGAUCGGCCACACUGGAACUGAGACACGGUCCAGACUCCUACGGGAGGCAGCAGUGGGGAAUCUUCCGCAAUGGGCGAAAGCCUGACGGAGCAACGCCGCGUGAGUGAUGAAGGUCUUCGGAUCGUAAAGCUCUGUUAGUAGGGAAGCGGUACCUAAACAGAAAGCCACGGCUAACUACGUGCCAGCAGCCGCGGUAAUAC
rnacentral:rRNA from 1 species